GGGUCAGUAGGCUGGUCGUGCCACCGGUACGUACUGGUCUCACUGAUUCCUCCUUCCUGAAGAACCGGAAUGCCAUUAAUUUGGUGUUGCGGGGAAACAGGACUGUUACUUUGAAAAGAUUUGAGUGUUUAAAGCAAGCUAACGCUUGAAUACAUUAGCAUGGAAUAAUGAAAUAGGACGAUCGAUCCUAUUUUGUUGGUUUCUAGGAUUGACGUA
rnacentral:rRNA from 1 species